AAGUCGUAACAAGGUUUCCGUAGGUGAACCUGCGGAAGGAUCAUUACAGUAUGAAUAGAAGGUUUUUGCUGCUGGCCUUACACCAAGGCAUGUGCGCACCUUCAAAUUUCUAAUCCACAUACACCUGUGAACCUUAGACGUAGAUUGGACUCCCAGCUUCUAUUUGGAGCUGCGAGCGGUUUCUAGGAGGUUUUCCUUCAAGAGACUGAGUCUGACUCGUCUACUUUAACAUAUACCCCUAAACAAGUUUUAAACGCAUGUCUUUUUAAUGGGCUCUAUGGAGCUUAUAAACAUUAAUACAACUUUCAACAACGGAUCUCUUGGCUUCAA
rnacentral:misc_RNA from 1 species